UACGGAGGAUCCGAGCGUUAUCCGGAUUUAUUGGGUUUAAAGGGAGCGUAGGUGGAUUGUUAAGUCAGUUGUGAAAGUUUGCGGCUCAACCGUAAAAUUGCAGUUGAAACUGGCAGUCUUGAGUACAGUAGAGGUAAGCGGAAUUCCUAGUGUAGCGGUGAAAUGCGUAGAUAUUAGGAGGAACAUCGGUGGCGAAGGCGGCUUACUGGGCUUUUACUGACGCUGAGGCUCGAAAGCGUGGGGAGCAAACAGG
rnacentral:rRNA from 1 species